rnacentral:lncRNA from 1 species
CCAAGCUUCACCAUCAGAUGGAUGAAUCAUGAUGUUACUCUCACUUCUAGGUCUAUUUUUGUGCCAUCUCAUAAAUAAUCAUUACAAUCUAAACUUUAACAGAAAGUACCGUAACAUUUGAUAAGGGAUCUUCUUAUCCUUACCAUCAUUAAUCAUCUAUCUCGAUGUUCCACACUUUGGAUAUUUUCAUACUCUUUCCUAAAGAGAACACAAUCAUAUUUACAUGCAUGUAUUGGCACAUAACCCAGGCCCAAGUUCCGUAGAAAGCGAUUUGCUGCAUAGUAAGACUUUGGCGAGGAUUGACCAUUAGGCAAGAUAUCUCUUAGUAAUGAC